GGCUGCACGCAGCUGCAGUUGGUAGCACUGUUGCCUUGCAAGCAAGAAGGUCCUGGGUUUGACUCCCGGCUGGGGGUCU